AUUGAACGCUGGCGGCAGGCCUAACACAUGCUAGUCGAGCGGAGCGGCGGACGGGUGAGUAAUGCCUAGGAAUCUGCCUGGUAGUGGGGGAUACCGUCCGGAAACGGGCGCUAAUACCGCAUACUAUCAGAUGAGCCUAGGUCGGAUUAGCUAGUUGGUGGGGUAAAGGCCUACCAAGGCGACGAUCCGUAACUGGUCUGAGAGGAUGAUCAGUCACACUGGAAAUGAGACACGGUACAGACGCCGACGGGAGGCAGCAGUGGGGAAUAUUGGAAAAUGGGAGAAAGCCUGAUCCAGCCAUGCAGCGUGUGUGAAGAAGGUCGUAGGAUUGUAAAGCACUUUAAGUUGGGAGGCGUUACCAACAGAAUAAGCACCGGCUAACUUCGUGCCAGCAGCCGCGGUAAAC
rnacentral:rRNA from 1 species